AAACUUGAGAGUUUGAUCAUGGCUCAGAACGUACGCUGGCGGCACGCCUAACACAUGCAAGUCGAACGAAGUAGCAAUACUUAGUGGCAGACGGGUGAGUAACAUGUGGGUAUCUGCCCUUUGGCCUGGAAUAACACGAGGAAACUUGUGCUAAUACCGGAUAAGUCUUUACGGAGAAAGCUUUAUGCACCAUUGGAUGAGCCCGCACUUGAUUAGUUUGUUGGUAGGGUAAUGGCCUACCAAGACUAUGAUCAAUAGCUGAUUUGAGAGGAUGAUCAGCCACAUUGGGACUGAGACACGGCCCAAACUCCUACGGGAGGCAGCAGUGGGGAAUCUUGCACAAUGGAGGAAACUCUGAUGCAGCGAUGCCGCGUGAGUGAAGAAGGCCUUUGGGUUGUAAAGCUCUUUCGUCGGGGAAGAAAAUGACUGUACCCGAAUAAGAAGGUCCGGCUAACUUCGUGCCAGCAGCCGCGGUAAUACGAAGGGACCUAGCGUAGUUCGGAAUUACUGGGCUUAAAGAGUUCGUAGGUGGUUAAAAAAGUUGGUGGUGAAAUCCCAGAGCUUAACUCUGGAACUGCCAUCAAAACUUUUUAGCUAGAGUAUGAUAGAGGAAAGCAGAAUUUCUAGUGUAGAGGUGAAAUUCGUAGAUAUUAGAAAGAAUACCGAUUGCGAAGGCAGCUUUCUGGAUCAUUACUGACACUGAGGAACGAAAGCAUGGGUAGCGAAGAGGAUUAGAUACCCUCGUAGUCCAUGCCGUAAACGAUGUGUGUUAGACGUUGGAAAUUUAUUUUCAGUGUCGCAGCGAAAGCGAUAAACACACCGCCUGGGGAGUACGACCGCAAGGUUAAAACUCAAAUGAAUUGACGGGGACCCGCACAAGUAGUGGAGCAUGUGGUUUAAUUCGAAGAUACGCGCAGAACCUUACCAACACUUGACAUGUUCGUCGCGACUCUAAGAGAUUAGAGUUUUCGGUUCGGCCGGACGAAACACAGGUGCUGCAUGGCUGUCGUCAGCUCGUGUCGUGAGAUGUUGGGUUAAGUCCCGCAACGAGCGCAACCCUCACUUUUAGUUGCCAUCAUUAAGUUGGGCACUCUGAAAGAACUGCCAGUGAUAAGCUGGAGGAAGGUGGGGAUGACGUCAAGUCCUCAUGGCCCUUACGUGUUGGGCUACACACGUGCUACAAUGGUAUCUACAACAGGAAGCAAAACAGCAAUGUUAAGCAAAUCCCGAAAAGAUACCUCAGUUCGGAUUGCACUCUGCAACUCGAGUGCAUGAAGCUGGAAUUACUAGUAAUCGUGGAUCAGCGUGCCACGGUGAAUGCGUUCCCGGGUCUUGUACACACCGCCCGUCACACCAUGGGAGUUGGUUCUACCUUAAGGCAAGGUUUAAUACCCUUGACCACGGUAUAGUCAGCGACUGGGGUGAAGUCGUAACAAGGUAGCCGUAGGGGAACCUGCGGCUGGAUUACCUCCUUU
rnacentral:rRNA from 1 species